GUGGGGAAUAUUGGACAAUGGGCGCAAGCCUGAUCCAGCCAUGCCGCGUGAAUGAUGAAGGCCUUAGGGUUGUAAAGUUCUUUCGCCAGGGACGAUAAUGACGGUACCUGGAUAAGAAGCCCCGGCUAACUUCGUGCCAGCAGCCGCGGUAAUACGAAGGGGGCUAGCGUUGUUCGGAUUUACUGGGCGUAAAGCGCACGUAGGCGGAUCUUUAAGUCAGGGGUGAAAUCCCGAGGCUCAACCUCGGAACUGCCCUUGAUACUGGAGAUCUUGAGUUCGGGAGAGGUGAGUGGAACUGCGAGUGUAGAGGUGAAAUUCGUAGAUAUUCGCAAGAACACCAGUGGCGAAGGCGGCUCACUGGCCCGAUACUGACGCUGAGGUGCGAAAGCGUGGGGAGCAAACAGGAUUAGAUACCCGAGUAGUCC
rnacentral:rRNA from 1 species